rnacentral:rRNA from 1 species
CCUACGGGUGGCAGCAGUGGGGAAUAUUGGACAAUGGGGGGAACCCUGAUCCAGCGACGCCGCGUGAGUGAAGAAGUAUUUCGGUAUGUAAAGCUCUAUCAGCAGGGAAGAAAAUGACGGUACCUGACUAAUAAGCUCCUUCUAACUACGGUCCAGCAGCCCCGGUAAUACGUAGGGGGCAAGCGUGAUCCGGAUUUACUGGGUGUAAAGUGAGCGUAGUCGGUGCAGGAAGGCUGAUGGGAAAGGUCGGGGCCCAAACCCGGGACUGCAUUGGAAACUGUUGAUCUGGAGUACAGGAGAGGUAAGCGGAAUUCGUGGUGUAGCGGUGAAAUGCGUAGAUAUUAGGAGGAACACCAGUGGCGAAGGCGGCUUACUGGACUGUAACUGACGUUGAGGCUCGAAAGCGUGGGGAGCAAACAGGAUUAGAUACCCCUGUAGUC